rnacentral:rRNA from 1 species
GAUGAACGCUAGCUACAGGCUUAACACAUGCAAGUCGAGGGGAAACGACAUCGAGAGCUUGCUUUUGAUGGGCGUCGACCGGCGCACGGGUGAGUAACGCGUAUCCAACCUGCCCAUCACUUGGGGAUAACCUUGCGAAAGUAAGACUAAUACCCAAUGAUAUCUCUAGAAGACAUCUGAAAGAGAUUAAAGAUUUAUCGGUGAUGGAUGGGGAUGCGUCUGAUUAGCUUGUUGGCGGGGUAACGGCCCACCAAGGCGACGAUCAGUAGGGGUGCUGGGAGGAAGGUCCCCCACAUUGGAACUGAGACACGGUCCAAACUCCUACGGGAGGCAGCAGUGAGGAAUAUUGGUCAAUGGGCGAGAGCCUGAACCAGCCAGGUAGCGUGCAGGAAGACGGCCCUAUGGGUUGUAAACUGCUUUUAUAAGGGAAUAAAGUGAGCCUCGUGAGACUUUUUGCAUGUACCUUAUGAAUAAGGACCGGCUAAUUCCGUGCCAGCCGCCGCGGUAA